UUUUUUUUUUUUUUUGAGAUGGAGUGUCUCUCUGUCGCUCAGGCUGGAGUGUGGAGUACAGUGGCACGAUCUCAGCUCACUGCAGCCUCCAUCUCCUGGGUUCAAGCAAUUCCCCUGCCUCAGCCUCUCUAGUAGCUGGGAUUGCAGGUGCCCACCACCAGAACCAGCUAAUUUUUGUAGUUUUAGUAGAGAUGAGGUUUUGCCAUGUUGGCCAGGCUGCCCUUGAACUCCUGACUUCAGGUGAUCCACCCAGCUCAGCCUCCCAAAGUGCUGGGAUUACAGGCAUGAGCCACCACGCCCAGCCGGCCUAUUCUGAUAUGGUGUUUGCCAAAUAGCAGCUGGCAUCAAAAGCAACUGGUGUGUAUGAAGUGGGAGUGUGUUCUGUUUCUAGAUUCCUGAUUCUCCUUCACCUCGUUGAAUCAAGUCAUGUCUGUUCUUGCUUUUAAGAUUUCUUACCGGACCCUUGAACCUCAAUGAUCCAGAUGCAAAAUGCAGAUUCCCCAAAAUUUUUGUAAAUACAGAUGACACUUAUGAAGAGCUCCAUUUAAUCGUUUAUAAGGCCAUGAGUGCGGCUGUGUGCUUUAUGAUCGACG
rnacentral:lncRNA from 10 species